GAGAUCGGGAUAACACCUGGAAACAGAUGCUAAUACCGGAUAACAACAGAUGAUGCCUAUCAACUGUUUAAAAGAUGGUUCUGCUAUCACUCUUGGAUGGACCUGCGGUGCAUUAGCUAGUUGGUAGGGUAACGGCCUACCAAGGCGAUGAUGCAUAGCCGAGUUGAGAGACUGAUCGGCCACAUUGGGACUGAGACACGGCCCAAACUCCUACGGGAGGCAGCAGNU
rnacentral:rRNA from 1 species